rnacentral:rRNA from 1 species
AAUGAACGCUGGCGGCGUGCUUAACACAUGCAAGUCGAACGAGAAAGGGAUUGCUUGCAAUCCUGAGUAGAGUGGCGCACGGGUGAGUAACACGUAGAUAAUCUACCUUCAAGACUGGGAUAACUAUUCGAAAGGAUAGCUAAUACCGGAUGAAGUGAUUUACCAUAAGUUAAAUCAUGAAAGAUUGCCUCUUCUUGAAAGCAAUUGUUUGGAGAUGAGUUUGCGGACCAUUAGUUUGUUGGUGGGGUAAAGGCCUACCAAGACUACGAUGGUUAGCUGGUCUGAGAGGAUGAUCAGCCACACUGGAACUGGUACACGGUCCAGGCUCCUACGGGAGGCAGCAGUGAGGAAUUUUGCGCAAUGGGGGCAACCCUGACGCAGCAACGCCGCGUGAGUGAAGAAGGCCUUUGGGUCGUAAAGCUCUGUCGACAGGGAAGAAAUUAGAGUUUUCUAAUAGGAGAUUCUAU